CGUGUCUUCGCUUGAAAUGAUAAAAAAAUAUUUUUGAAAGAUACGGGUAAUAAUCCUUAAAAUUAAAACUCAGGAUACAUCUGAGUGUGUCGUGUGUCUUUGCUGUCAACAACCAGUCGAACAAAAUCCAUGUGUUUUGAUUUCAAAUAAUUGAAGUGUGCAUUUUUUGUUGAAAUUAUCAGCCUCAAUGUCUAAACACACCAAGGUUCACCGCAAUAUGAAAACAAAGUGGUGCAGAAGUUCCGAAAAAAUGUCGCAGCAUACUAUAGGCUUAUUUUGUAUUUACGUGUUAGAUCCGGAUAUGAUAUCCACCAUAUGUGAACCAGGGCAAAUUCUACGGUCAAGAGUGCAGGUCAGUGUCAACAUCCUGCUUAGCGAAGCGGUAACUGCGCUAAUGCAGAAAACAAGGAAGAUUGAGGUUAGGCACCAAAUUUCAAUUGCAGUAAACACCGAAAUCCAGCAAGCAAACAGCUACUGAAAACCCGCAUUGAAAAUCCCGAUGACCGGCGCACCUGCCGUAAACCGGAGCGUUUAACGAAAAAGACGGUCAAAGCCUUAGACAUCACGCGCAACAUUCCGAAAGUUGGUGCUUGAUUCCGUUUUCAUUCGGAACUAUAACUUACACUGGUUCCGUCACCAAGGUCGAGCAGGGAACUGACAUGAAUUUCCCAAAAGCCAUAACCACCGGAUGAAUCUGAAGUCAUGGGAACUUUCAACUAGGAGGUAGGCCAACUGAAUGGAAACCCGUUCCACGCUUUUCUGGAACAAGGUCUCGAAAAGCGGAUCUGUUAACGAGGCUCCUACCUGCGCUGUACAAGUGUCGAUAUCCAAACCGCCAGUUUAUCAUCGGUACUGUCGAAAAUCGGAGAUGGUACAUGUGCAACUUGAAAUUAAACGUGAUUAUCAGCAGAAUAUCAAUUUACAGGAGGAAACAAAAUGACCCCAAGAAAACCACGAUGCACAGAAUCCGAAAUCCGCAAGAAUUGUGCGUCGGUCAGAAAUAAGCAGGUGUCCUUUUUGGUCUUCUGAAAUCCAACAAAGAUGGCCAGACAAAUCUUUACCUCUUUAAGGGACAAAAGGGAAUUGGAAAAGUAUCCUGAUAAUUUCCGGAAAACAAGUAUCCUGAAGAAAGAAGUAUCCUGAUAAUUUCCGGAAAACAAACGCCAGAGAAGCAACAGCUCCAACACACUUGACUGGGUGUAGGUCAUGCAGCAGCACUCGGCUGGAGGUGCCUUCAAGGAGGCAAACACACAAGCGAACAUCAACAGAACCAAACACAUAUUACUGGCUGGAAUUAAUGUACUAGGAAUCGAUUGUAGAUGAUCUAUCAGCAACCGGCUGGAGUUUGGGGAAAUUAAUCUGAACCCAGUCCAUGUCCAGGAUCCGACGCAUAAUCGUUGCUGGCUGAUGUCCUGGUCGGCGGACACCAUCGAAUACUCAAGAGAAGAAGAGGAUAUGGUUUUGUGUAUGAUUAUGUUCCUUAUCGAGAUCAUUGGGUUUCCGAUGAGGAAAAACGGUUAUAUUUAAACAAGGGAGAAAGAAACGAGCGAAUCCAAAACCGUUCUCCUACGCAUUCUAUUACGGUGCACAGAGCCAAUAACGGCAUCUUCAGACUUCAUUUUGGUGCUCUGAUGAUUGUCCUUGAGUACCAAGAUUUUCUCGGUAUCGCCACAUACUGGCCUAAUAUUCAGAAAAAAAUAUGGCGAAAUACACCCGAGGGUACUAUUCACCGGAAACGUCACCCAUAGCCGUAACCAAUCGGAUGCCGCUAAGUUGCCCUCUAUCGCGCUAUUCUAUCUCUUCGAAUAUUGUCGUUACAGGGAAAAACUGUAAAAUCAGUUAAGCGACAAUGGAUUUUUCUCAGAGUAGCGCUGGACUGGCGACACAAUAUCUCAUUGAAACUACGCGAGUAGAAAUAUGCACCGUCAGAACAAGAGGUUCGCAUUGUUGUAGAGGAUUUACUACGAGGUGUUUUUUCUUAUUGAUGCAUUUUAACUACUUCUUAAUUGAACAUCAAUAGCAAAAUCGUCAAGUGUUAUCUUGUUUAUAACUGCUUCGAAUUCUUUGUUUCAUCAUAAAAUUAAAAAAAUUUUAAAAGACAAAAUGUUAAACGAAGUUUCGAAAAUUCUUGUUUAGGACCCGAUUUCAGUCUUCGGACUUGAUUAAAUUAGAGGGAAAAAACUGAUUCAUAUUUUAAAGGUGUUUUUUGCUAGGAAAUUACCACUAGGAGUAUUUUUAAGGUAGAAAUCUUAACCAAAAAGAAAUGACAAAUAAAAAAACCGAUUUUAUUAUUCGUAAAUGAAGAAGCGUGAAUCAGGAUUAAAAAAUCGAAGAAGUGGUUUGAAAUGAAACAUCUCAUAUGAGAUAAAAAUUAUAAUACUCAAACAAUAAUUCUAAAAUAUAUUAAAAGAGAGAUUGAAGAGUUAAAUAUCAAUUCGUGGGUCGUUUUUAGAAUAAUUAUCAAGUAAAAGCACUCUGAAAAGAUUUUAUUUAUAUUAGAGAUGUAUGCGGCAGAAUAUUGUUAUAAGACUAUCAAAAACUAAUGCGAAGGUUGUUGUGGUGGUAAUAAUGUAUAAAAUAACAUAAAAAUGUAAAUAAUUUGGUAGAAACCUUCCUAUUUUGAUAAAUAAUAAAAUCUCUGAAAAACUAUAACACGAAUCGUCUACUUUUUUUCAAUUUGAUCAUAAAACGAUCUUGUAAAGAUACGCUGUAGCGUCAGAAAUAAUUGAUAUGAACGAUUAACUGAAGAUUUAAUGUAUGAUUUUCAAUCCAGAAAAGUCUAGAAAAAAACAAAAAAAUUGAAUGGUAACUCUACUUAACGACCCGUUCCCUGUAUCGUAAAGUGCGUCCAAACGAUUCCAUUGCAUGAAAAUAUGAUAAGCCUUAUCUUAAAUUAAUAAUCCAAAA